rnacentral:rRNA from 1 species
UUUCCUUUAGNGAGACUGCCGGUAAUAAACCGGAGGAAGGUGGGGAUGACGUCAAAUCAUCAUGCCCCUUAUGACCUGGGCUACACACGUGCUACAAUGGCUGGUACAACGAGUCGCAAGUCGGUGACGGCAAGCUAAUCUCUUAAAGCCAGUCUCAGUUCGGAUUGUAGGCUGCAACUCGCCUACAUGAAGUCGGAAUCGCUAGUAAUCGCGGAUCAGCACGCCGCGGUGAAUACGUUCCCGGGCCUUGUACACACCGCCCGUCACACCACGAGAGUUUGUAACACCCGAAGUCGGUGAGGUAACCUUUUAGGAGCCAGCCGCCUAAGGUGGGAUAGAUGAUUGGGGUGAAGUCGUAACAAGGUAACCGAAA